rnacentral:misc_RNA from 1 species
AACGGCUUUUAUAGGCCUGUUCCCGAUACCCUAAAUCGUGGCCUCUAACGCAGCCACAAUCGCGAUUUAAAACUAUGGUGUUGAUUGUUGAUGAAUGAAAUUACAUGAAAUUAAGUGUUGACUUACCCAUCUAAGCGUUGAUUUUUUCUAACUGUAGACGUGGGUGGUUUCUUUGUAAUGUCAGAACAGAUAAACCAAACAGAAUCAAAUUGAACCGAACUAGCUCAGUUCAAUUCAGUCAAGUUCAGUUUCUUUUCCUAUUA